rnacentral:rRNA from 1 species
UCCUACGGGAGGCAGCAGUGGGGAAUAUUGCACAAUGGGCGCAAGCCUGAUGCAGCAACGCCGCGUGAGGGACGAAGGCCUUCGGGUUGUAAACCUCUUUUAGUAGGGAAGAAGCGACUGGGUUUUCCUGGGAGUGACGGUACCUGCAGAAAAAGCACCGGCUAACUACGUGCCAGCAGCCGCGGUAAUACGUAGGGUGCAAGCGUUGUCCGGAAUUAUUGGGCGUAAAGAGCUCGUAGGCGGUUUGUCGCGUCUGCUGUGAAAACCCGAGGCUCAACCUCGGGCCUGCAGUGGGUACGGGCAGACUAGAGUGCGGUAGGGGAGAUUGGAAUUCCUGGUGUAGCGGUGGAAUGCGCAGAUAUCAGGAGGAACACCAAUGGCGAAGGCAGAUCUCUGGGCCGUAACUGACGCUGAGGAGCGAAAGCAUGGGGAGCGAACAGGAUUAGAUACCCUGGUAGUCCAUGCCGUAAACGUUGGGAACUAGAUGUGGGGACCAUUCCACGGUCUCCGUGUCGCAGCUAACGCAUUAAGUUCCCCGCCUGGGGAGUACGGCCGCAAGGCUAAAACUCAAAGGAAUUGACGGGGGCCCGCACAAGCGGCGGAGCAUGCGGAUUAAUUCGAUGCAACGCGAAGAACCUUACCAAGGCUUGGCAUAUACCGGAAACGGCUGGAAACAGUCGCCCCGCAAGGUCGGUAUACAGGUGGUGCAUGGUUGUCGUCAGCUCGUGUCGUGAGAUGUUGGGUUAAGUCCCGCAACGAGCGCAACCCUCGUCCUAUGUUGCCAGCACGUAAUGGUGGGAACUCAUGGGAUACUGCCGGGGUCAACUCGGAGGAAGGUGGGGAUGACGUCAAAUCAUCAUGCCCCUUAUGUCUUGGGCUUCACGCAUGCUACAAUGGCCGGUACAAAGGGCUGCGAUACCGCAAGGUGGAGCGAAUCCCAAAAAGCCGGUCUCAGUUCGGAUUGAGGUCUGCAACUCGACCUCAUGAAGUCGGAGUCGCUAGUAAUCGCAGAUCAGCAACGCUGCGGUGAAUACGUUCCCGGGCCUUGUACACACCGCC